CCUACGGGUGGCAGCAGUCGAGAAUCAUUCACAAUGGGGGAAACCCUGAUGGUGCGACGCCGCGUGGGGGAAUGAAGGUCUUCGGAUUGUAAACCCCUGUCAUGUGGGAGCAAAUUAAAAAGAUAGUACCACAAGAGGAAGAGACGGCUAAUUCUGUGCCAGCAGCCGCGGUAAUACAGAGGUCUCAAGCGUUGUUCGGAAUCACUGGGCGUAAAGCGUGCGUAGGCUGUUUCGUAAGUCGUGUGUGAAAGGCGCGGGCUCAACCCGCGGACGGCACAUGAUACUGCGAGACUAGAGUAAGGGAGGGGGAACCGGAAUUCUCGGUGUAGCAGUGAAAUGCGUAGAUAUCGAGAGGAACACUCGUGGCGAAGGCGGGUUCCUGGACAUUAACUGACGCUGAGGCACGAAGGCCAGGGGAGCGAAAGGGAUUAGAUACCCUUGUAGUC
rnacentral:rRNA from 1 species